rnacentral:rRNA from 1 species
CAGCAGCCACGGGAAUACAGAGGGUGCGAGCGUUAAUCGGAUUUACUGGGCGUAAAGCGUGCGUAGGCGGCUAAUUGAGUCGGAUGUGAAAUCCCCGAGCUUAACUUGGGAAUUGCAUUCGAUACUGGUUAGCUAGAGUGUGGGAGAGGAUGGUAGAAUUCCAGGUGUAGCGGUGAAAUGCGUAGAGAUCUGGAGGAAUACCGAUGGCGAAGGCAGCCAUCUUGCCUAACACUGACGCUGAUGUACGAAAGCAUGGGGAGCAAACAGGAUUAGAGACCCGCGUAGUCCUGUCUCUUAUACA